AAAUAGUAAAAUUAUUACACAUCAUGGAAUUGGGGGUACAUUUCGUCGCAUGGGGAUUCAAAAAUAAUGAAACAAAUAAAUCGGGCUAAAUCAACAAACAAACAAUGCAUGAGUGUAGGUGCGAGGGGAUGAUCUCAUUGUAAGAAGGCCCAAGAGUAAGCCAUGUGAGGUUGAUGGCGAUGCUAUGAGCAAUCGACUUACAAAAGUAUUUGAAAAAAUGGGAGGGGGAUACAUUUUGUCGUAUGUGGAUAUAAGCUAGUAAAAGAAAAGAGGGUCCAAUAACUCAUGGAUUAUAGCCCUAAUUCUAACAUUUGAAAUUAAUAAAAUA
rnacentral:lncRNA from 1 species